AAAUUGAAGAGUUUGAUCAUGGCUCAGAUUGAACGCUGGCGGCAGGCCUAACACAUGCAAGUCGAACGGUAACAGGAAGCAGCUUGCUGCUUCGCUGACGAGUGGCGGACGGGUGAGUAAUGUCUGGGAAACUGCCUGAUGGAGGGGGAUAACUACUGGAAACGGUGGCUAAUACCGCAUAACGUCGCAAGACCAAAGAGGGGGACCUUCGGGCCUCUUGCCAUCAGAUGUGCCCAGAUGGGAUUAGCUUGUUGGUGAGGUAACGGCUCACCAAGGCGACGAUCCCUAGCUGGUCUGAGAGGAUGACCAGCCACACUGGAACUGAGACACGGUCCAGACUCCUACGGGAGGCAGCAGUGGGGAAUAUUGCACAAUGGGCGCAAGCCUGAUGCAGCCAGGCCGCGUGUAUGAAGAAGGCCUUCGGGUUGUAAAGUACUUUCAGCGGGGAGGAAGGUGUUGUGGUUAAUAACC
rnacentral:rRNA from 1 species